AGAGUUUGAUCCUGGCUCAGGACGAACGCUGGCGGCGUGCCUAAUACAUGCAAGUCGAACGCUUCUUUCCUCCCGAGUGCUUGCACUCAAUUGGAAAGAGGAGUGGCGGACGGGUGAGUAACACGUGGGUAACCUGCCCAUCAGAGGGGGAUAACACUUGGAAACAGGUGCUAAUACCGCAUAACAGUUUAUGCCGCAUGGCAUAAGAGUGAAAGGCGCUUUCGGGUGUCGCUGAUGGAUGGACCCGCGGUGCAUUAGCUAGUUGGUGAGGUAACGGCUCACCAAGGCCACGAUGCAUAGCCGACCUGAGAGGGUGAUCGGCCACACUGGGACUGAGACACGGCCCAGACUCCUACGGGAGGCAGCAGUAGGGAAUCUUCGGCAAUGGACGAAAGUCUGACCGAGCAACGCCGCGUGAGUGAAGAAGGUUUUCGGAUCGUAAAACUCUGUUGUUAGAGAAGAACAAGGACGUUAGUAACUGAACGUCCCCUGACGGUAUCUAACCAGAAAGCCACGGCUAACUACGUGCCAGCAGCCGCGGUAAUACGUAGGUGGCAAGCGUUGUCCGGAUUUAUUGGGCGUAAAGCGAGCGCAGGCGGUUUCUUAAGUCUGAUGUGAAAGCCCCCGGCUCAACCGGGGAGGGUCAUUGGAAACUGGGAGACUUGAGUGCAGAAGAGGAGAGUGGAAUUCCAUGUGUAGCGGUGAAAUGCGUAGAUAUAUGGAGGAACACCAGUGGCGAAGGCGGCUCUCUGGUCUGUAACUGACGCUGAGGCUCGAAAGCGUGGGGAGCAAACAGGAUUAGAUACCCUGGUAGUCCACGCCGUAAACGAUGAGUGCUAAGUGUUGGAGGGUUUCCGCCCUUCAGUGCUGCAGCAAACGCAUUAAGCACUCCGCCUGGGGAGUACGACCGCAAGGUUGAAACUCAAAGGAAUUGACGGGG
rnacentral:rRNA from 1 species